rnacentral:rRNA from 1 species
GACGAACGCUGGCGGCGUGCUUAACACAUGCAAGUCGAGCGAUGAAAGCCUUAUGAACUAUUCGUAGUGAUUGGGGCCGGAUUAGCGGCGGACGGGUGAGUAGCGCGUGAGCAACCUGCCUUAAACAACGGGAUAGCCUCGGGAAACCGGGAUUAAUACCGUAUGAGACCCCGCCUUCACAUGCAGAAGAGAUUAAAGAUUUAUCGGUUUAAGAUGGGCUCGCGUCUGAUUAGCUAGUUGGUGAGACAAAAGCCCACCAAGGCAACGAUCAGUAACCGGCUUGGGGGAGUGAACGGUCACAUUGGAACUGAGACACGGUCCAAACUCUUACGGGAGGCAGCAGUGGGGAAUAUUGCACAAUGGGGGAAACCCUGAUGCAGCGACGCCGCGUGAGCGAUGAAGGAAUUCGUUUCGUAAAGCUCUGUCCAAGGGGAAGAUAAUGACAGUACCCUUGGAGGAAGCCCCGGCUAAAUACGUGCCAGCAGCCGCCGUAACAC